GAUGAACGCUGGCGGCGUGCCUAAUACAUGCAAGUCGAGCGAACAGAUGAGGAGCUUGCUCCUCUGACGUUAGCGGCGGACGGGUGAGUAACACGUGGAUAACCUACCUAUAAGACUGGGAUAACUUCGGGAAACCGGAGCUAAUACCGGAUAAUAUAUUGAACCGCAUGGUUCAAUAGUGAAAGACGGUUUUGCUGUCACUUAUAGAUGGAUCCGCGCCGCAUUAGCUAGUUGGUAAGGUAACGGCUUACCAAGGCAACGAUGCGUAGCCGACCUGAGAGGGUGAUCGCCCACACUGGAACUGAGACACGGUCCAUACUCCUACGGGAGGCAGCAGUAGGGAAUCUUCCGCAAUGGGCGAAAGCUUGACGGAGCAACGCCGCGUGAGUGAUGAAGGUCUUCGGAUCGUAAAACUCUGUUAUUAGGGAAGAACAAAUGUGUAAGUAACUAUGCACGUCUUGACGGUACCUAAUCAGAAAGCCACGGCUAACUACGUG
rnacentral:rRNA from 1 species